rnacentral:rRNA from 1 species
AUUGAACGCUGCGGGCAGGCCUAACACAUGCAAGUCGAGCGGAUGAAGGGAGCUUGCUCCUGGAUUCAGCGGCGGACGGGUGAGUAAUGCCUAGGAAUCUGCCUGGUAGUGGGGGAUAACGUCCGGAAACGGGCGCUAAUACCGCAUACGUCCUGAGGGAGAAAGUGGGGGAUCUUCGGACCUCACGCUAUCAGAUGAGCCUAGGUCGGAUUAGCUAGUUGGUGGGGUAAAGGCCUACCAAGGCGACGAUCCGUAACUGGUCUGAGAGGAUGAUCAGUCACACUGGAACUGAGACACGGUCCAGACUCCUACGGGAGGCAGCAGUGGGGAAUAUUGGACAAUGGGCGAAAGCCUGAUCCAGCCAUGCCGCGUGUGUGAAGAAGGUCUUCGGAUUGUAAAGCACUUUAAGUUGGGAGGAAGGGCAGUAAGUUAAUACCUUGCUGUUUUGACGUUACCAACAGAAUAAGCACCGGCUAACUUCGUGCCAGCAGCCGCGGUAAUACGAAGGGUGCAAGCGUUAAUCGGAAUUACUGGGCGUAAAGCGCGCGUAGGUGGUUCAGCAAGUUGGAUGUGAAAUCCCCGGGCUCAACCUGGGAACUGCAUCCAAAACUACUGAGCUAGAGUACGGUAGAGGGUGGUGGAAUUUCCUGUGUAGCGGUGAAAUGCGUAGAUAUAGGAAGGAACACCAGUGGCGAAGGCGACCACCUGGACUGAUACUGACACUGAGGUGCGAAAGCGUGGGGAGCAAACAGGAUUAGAUACCCUGGUAGUCCACGCCGUAAACGAUGUCGACUAGCCGUUGGGAUCCUUGAGAUCUUAGUGGCGCAGCUAACGCGAUAAGUCGACCGCCUGGGGAGUACGGCCGCAA